rnacentral:rRNA from 1 species
AUUGAACGCUGGCGGCAUGCUUUACACAUGCAAGUCGAACGGUAACAGGCCGCAAGGUGCUGACGAGUGGCGAACGGGUGAGUAAUGCAUCGGAACGUGCCCAGUCGUGGGGGAUAACGCAGCGAAAGCUGUGCUAAUACCGCAUACGAUCUAUGGAUGAAAGCGGGGGACCGUAAGGCCUCGCGCGAUUGGAGCGGCCGAUGUCAGAUUAGGUAGUUGGGGGGGUAAAGGCCUACCAAGCCGACGAUCUGUAGCUGGUCUGAGAGGACGACCAGCCACACUGGGACUGAGACACGGGCCAGACUCCUACGGGAGGCAGCAGUGGGGAAUUUUGGACAAUGGGCGCAAGCCUGAUCCAGCAAUGCCGCGUGCAGGAAGAAGGCCUUCGGGUUGUAAACUGCUUUUGUACGGAACGAAACGGUCUGGGUUAAUACCCUGGGCUAAUGACGGUACCGUAAGAAUAAGCACCGGCUAACUACGUGCCAGCCGCCGCCGUAAUAC